rnacentral:rRNA from 1 species
AGAAUCAACGCUGGCGGCGUGCCUAACACAUGCAAGUCGAACGAGAAAGUGGAGCAAUCCAUGAGUAAAGUGGCGACCGGGUGAGUAACACGUGACUAACCUACCUUCGAGUGGGGGAUAACCUCGGGAAACCGGGCUAAUACCGCAUAAUGCCUUCGGGUUAAAGGAGCAAUUCGCUUGAAGAGGGGGUCGCGGCUGAUUAGCUAGUUGGCGGGGUAACGGCCCACCAAGGCGAAGAUCGGUAGCC